UGGCGGCGUGGAUAAGACAUGCAAGUCGAACGGGAGAAUUGCUAGCUUGCUAAUAAUUCUCUAGUGGCGCACGGGUGAGUAACACGUGAGUAACCUGCCCCCAAGAGUGGGAUAGCCCCGGGAAACUGGGAUUAAUACCGCAUAAAAUCGCAAGAUUAAAGCAGCAAUGCGCUUGGGGAUGGGCUCGCGUCCUAUUAGUUAGUUGGUGAGGUAACGGCUCACCAAGGCGAUGACGGGUAGCCGGUCUGAGAGGAUGUCCGGCCACACUGGAACUGAGACACGGUCCAGACACCUACGGGUGGCAGCAGUCGAGAAUCAUUCACAAUGGGGGAAACCCUGAUGGUGCGACGCCGCGUGGGGGAAUGAAGGUCUUCGGAUCGUAAACCCCUGUCAUGUGGGAGCAAAUUAAAAAGAUAGUACCACAAGAGGAAGAGACGGCUAACUCUGUGCCAGCAGCCGCGGUAAUACAGAGGUCUCAAGCGUUGUUCGGAAUCACUGGGCGUAAAGCGUGCGUAGGCGGUUUCGUAAGUCGUGUGUGAAAGGCGGGGGCUCAACCCCCGGACUGCACAUGAUACUGCGAGACUAGAGUAAUGGAGGGGGAACCGGAAUUCACGGUGUAGCA
rnacentral:rRNA from 1 species